rnacentral:rRNA from 1 species
UACGUAGGGUGCGAGCGUUAAUCGGAAUUACUGGGCGUAAAGCGUGCGCAGGCGGUUCGUUAAGUCAGAUGUGGAAGCCCCGGGCCCAACCUGGGAACUGCAUUUGAAACUGGCGGGCUUGAGUAUGGCAGAGGGGGGUGGAAUUCCGCGUGUAGCAGUGAAAUGCGUAGAGAUGCGGAGGAACACCGAUGGCGAAGGCAGCCCCCUGGGCCAAUACUGACGCUCAGGCACGAAAGCGUGGGGAGCAAACAGG